rnacentral:lncRNA from 10 species
AGUAGAAAGAUGGGAGCGGAGAGACGUUGGGACGCCAAAAGUGGAAGGCAACGACACACGGCCCGUGGCGCCUUCAGCUAGGGAGAAAGAGAGAGAGGACGGGGGCUGGCGGGCGGGAUUAGCUGCCGGAGGGCUGAGUUUCCGCAGGCCUGGUAAGAGUUCCAGCUCUCGCAUCCCUUUGCCGUGAGUUUGAGGAGGUGGUUGGAGCGGGGAAAUGCACCAGAGGGGCGGGGCCUUCCAGUUAUUAUAUUACGUCAUGCAAAUGAGGUGGCUAGACAGACCAAUCCAAAGGCCCCGGGAAGCGUUUCGUCCGCACCACGCAGCGUAGGCAUUCUUCGGGCAGUUCUACCUAUUUGCAUAAUGUAUGCAAAUCAUUUGAACAAAGAUAGGCUAGGAAUGACUCGUUCAUCAAAAUAUGGGCAACCAUCGACUAAGACGGACAUUUAAUUUUAUAACCUAUAAUUUUCAUGAAUAAAUUUUUAUAUUUGAAAUUAUUGGGAAUUUGUAAUUUCUUAACAAUGGGUUUCAUUUUGUGAAAUGCAGUACUGUUACCCUCCUUUGUCUCUUACUACCCGAUUCUAGAACUCUCUGCUCCCAUCAGAGUUAUACCCAUUCAACAGAUCAUUCAAUGACUAUGAUUUGAAGGCGCUGGAGAUAAUGCACAGGAUAUUAUAGAAGUAGAGAAAUAAGGCCUGGCGCGGUGGCUCACGCCUGUAAUCCCAGCACUUUGGGAGGCCUAGGCAGGUGGAUCACGAGAUCAGGAGUUCAAGACCAGCCUGGCCAACAUGAUGAAACCCCAUUUCUACUAAAAAUACAAAAAUUUGCCCUACGUGGUGGCGGGCGCCUGUAAUCCCAACUACUCGGGAAGCUGAGGCAGAGAAUUCCUUGAACCAG